UACGUAGGUGGCAAGCGUUAUCCGGAAUUAUUGGGCGUAAAGCGCGCGUAGGCGGUUUUUUAAGUCUGAUGUGAAAGCCCACGGCUCAACCGUGGAGGGUCAUUGGAAACUGGAAAACUUGAGUGCAGAAGAGGAAAGUGGAAUUCCAUGUGUAGCGGUGAAAUGCGCAGAGAUAUGGAGGAACACCAGUGGCGAAGGCGACUUUCUGNGUCUGUAACUGACGCUGAUGUGCGAAAGCGUGGGGAUCAAACAGGAUUAGA
rnacentral:rRNA from 1 species